AAUCCAAGUUCAUCUUCCUUAUUCAAAUAUUAGCAGUAAUCUUUGAAUCAUCCUUGAAGUGUAGUGUGUGAGAUAGCCAUGCUAAUGCAAUUUCAAGUUUUUAUUUUUAAAAUCAUCAUAUGCAAACUAGUAACAUUCUCACGGGAUAUACACUCAAUCACAUAUGUGUUUAGUUUUAAUGUGUUUCGCUCAAAGAAUCAAAUGUGAAAUUUCUACCAUAAGCCUGCAUAAAGAUCACUUCUCCACAGUCAUAAUUGCAAAACUUAAAUCAAGAGGACUUUUAUUGGACGUAAUGAGGUUUAGGGAGAGGGUUAUUGAAAUGAAAGAAUAGGUAAACACAAGUUCCAAGCUACAUUGCAAGCAAUUCUUUUGUUUAGAUUUAUAAGAACUCAAUAUUUCCCAGCGAUUCUUCUAGCACCUCCAACCACACCCUUAAAAACUGAAACUUUAAAAACUUUUUUAUUUUCUUUGUAUACAAUUUUUUUUUUUCUUUAAAUACAAACAUGAAAUACCCCCACACUUAUUCUUUUGCCAAACACCUUCAAAGUACUUCACAAACAUUUCUCAUAAGACAAUCUCACAUUGCUCACUAGCUUGCUUGGAAAGGGUAAGGAAGAAUGUUUCAGGUAUAAGGGUAGACAUAUCUGGUGGUAAGAAAUAAAAGGCUCAACAUACACGGCUCAAAUUGGCAAUCUAAUGAUAUCAUUUUUAUUUGGGAAACAUGGUUAUUUGGGCCAUAGUGGUAAACCUAAUGCCUCUAUCAUUUCCAAGUUCAUGCAAUCAAUGACAAACAUUUCGAAAGAUCGUUACGCAAGUUCUAGAGAUGUAUCUCACAUAAGUUCAUCACACAUGAAAGAAUAAGAGUGUAUGAAAAAUGCACACACUUUCAAUAGGCUCAAAAACUCACAUAGGAUGUAUAUGGUCUCUAAAUUCACAUAUGACGCUUUAAUUCAUACUUUAGUUUCACAUUAACAAGGCUAUGUGCAUUUGGUUUUUCAAAGAUGGUCAAACAUGUACAAAACUAACAAGAGAAUAAGGAAUUUCACAAAACACAUGUUAACUAAGUUCUUGAUGAUCAUGGUUCGAAUUUGAUCCAAUUAUAUCAUUGGGUCGGGAAACUAACAAAAAUCUAAUUCAAAACAAUAAGGGAAACAAGACAAUAUUUUUGGAUUUUUAAAUUUUCCGAUUUUUUUUAUUUUUUAUUUUUAAAGAAAACAAAAAGCAACAACACAGAAACAAAUGAAAUUCUAGAGAUUUCUACCCCCACACUUAAACUUGACAUUGUCCCCAAUGUCAGAAAACACUAUAACGCAAAUAAAAAUAAAAUAAAAUAAAAUAAAUAAUAAGAAACAAAAUAAAGCAAUUGGACUGAAAACUUCCCUAAUUUGCAGUAAAAUCAAGCGAUGACCCCCAAGCUAAAAUUCUGCAAUCAACUUCAAGGGUGGAAAUAACCAAAAGUUCCUGCAAAGAAAAGAAAUAAUUCAGUUAAGUAACGCAAGAAAAUAAAAUAAUAAUAAAAAAUAAAUAAAAAAAAUUGCAAACGAAAAAUUGAAAAUCACGAUAAAAGACAAUGAAUAGAACUAAUAAGUAAUCAUUGGUCGUGUUUGUUGACUUUCCACAGCUUUCCUCUUGAACGGGGUGACACUUAGCUUUUUACUUGCAAGUGAUGAUUUGAUGAUAUUGUACGGCGAAGCUUUGCUCUUUGGUGAUGUUGCAGUUCCUUAUUUGUUCUCCAAGCAGAUGUGGCAGCUUCUCUAGUUUUCAGCUCGGACUCCUUCCGCUGGGAUGAUUGUGCAAGCUGCAUUCUUCUCUGCUUGUUUCUUCUGUACGUUGUCUCCACAUGCUGCUGGUAUCAUUUUCGCUUGCCUUAUCUGUUCUUCAGGUAGAUGUGGCAGCUUCUUUGGAAGUACAUCAGCAGUGGAAGACGAGUACUCGAGAGCAAUUUUCUCCAUGUCCUGCAGGUUAGAACAAAGACAAGGAAAAGGACAUGGAGAAUGCAUGAUAUGAGAUACUCUUGCUUUCAACCUUUAUGAUAUGAAAUACUUUUGCUCUGGAUGGGUUGUUUGCAGGGGUAUCCCAGGGAAUGAGGAAUACAGUGUGACUCGAGAGGGUUCUUUGGGAAUGCAUUCUCGGAGAUGAAGAAGUGCUGAGAGGGUGUGCCUUUGCUGUGGAAGGCGAAGGUAAAUACUUAUAGGACUUUUCUUCACAACCGGAACUAUUCUCUCACUCAUUGUCGGCAGCCGGUGGAUGGAUGAAUAGUACAAAUUACGCGCUUUCUGACAAAGCUGCCCGUAAUUUCCGCAAAGCUGCCAGUUGCAUGUGACGAGUGACGACACGUCUGGACAAAUUGAUCUUUUGAAAUCCGGGGUUCGGCUCGUGGUUUCUGAGCAAGCCCAUUUUUUUGAGAAAUGAAACGCCUCUUUUGAGAAAAGAAUCCAGCUUUUGAGAAAGGAGCCCCGACUCUUCGAUUCGCGAGAGGACGCUUCAUCGAUUUCUGAGGAGCGCCUCUUUGAUUUCUUCUUUUUAUAGAGGCGUUAAUUUUGUUCCACAACACACUUGAGCUCCCUCUUGUAAACACUCCCUUCUUGCACUUGUUUAAUCUUGAUCAUUCCGACUCUCUUCUUUCUUCACUACCUCUGAAAAAUGUCUGGCCCUUCUGAUCGUCGUUUUGACUUGAACAUUGGUGAAGAGGCAGCUCCGCCUUCACCAGACAACAUAUGGCGGCCAUCCUUCAUAUCCCCUACCGAUCCUCUUACUGUUGGGGAUUCGGUGAUGAAAAAUGACAUGACCGCUGCGGUGGUGGCCCGGAACCUUGUCACCCCCCGUGAUAACAGACUACUCGCUAGACGGUCUGAUGAAUUGGCGGUUAAGGAGUCUCUAGCUCUUAGCGUGCAGUGUGCGGGCUCUGUGUCCAACAUGGCCCAACGCCUAUUUGCUCGAACCCGUCACGUCGAAUCGUUGGUGGCUGAAAUACAGAGUCUCAAAGAGGAGAUUAGAGGACUCAAGCAUGAAAAUAAACAAUUGCACAAGCUUGCACACAAUUAUGCCACAAACAUGAAGAGGAAAAUUGACCAGCUGCAGGAAAAUGAUGGUCAGAUUUUACUUGAUCACCGGAGGUUUGUGGGUUUGUUCCAACCGCAUCUGCCUUCGUCUUCUGGGGCGGCACCGCGUAGUGAAGCUCCAACUGAUCAACCUCCGAUACCUCCUCCUUCCGUGGCCCCGCCGACUGCUGAAGCUCCGCCGACUACUGAAGCACCACCUGACCAAUGAAUGCUGUUAGUUUACACAUCAUUGUAAAAUAUUUUUACUUUUAUGUGUUUUUUUAGGUGUGUUUUUUUGUUUUUUUUUUUUUUUUUUUUUUUUUUUUUUGUUUUUUUUUUUUUUUUAUUUAUCAAUGUAAAAUAUGUAAAUCAAUAUAAAAAGACUUUGUUUAACCUUCCCCCACACUUAAACUAAAUAACACAAACUCACAGAAAUCAACCAAAUAACACAACUAACUGAAUAAAACAAAAUGAAAGCAGUAAAGAUAAGGGUGUAAGAAUGCAAAUCUGAUUUGGUUAGCGAUUCCGAAGUCUCCCUUCGUUGAAUGCUUGGGUUGCCUCCCAAGAAGCGCUUGAUUUAACGUCUUUAGCCGGACGAAUCUUUCCUUUAAACUCCCCUCGGCUCCAAAGCAUGGAAUUUAUCUUUUAAUGGGAGGUGAUACUUGAAAUGAUUCGGCAAUGGUUUAAAUUCAAGAGUGGGUGCCUGAAUCAUCAAAAUCAGAAAAAUGUUAGUAUAAAUAAAAAUUAAAAUUGGAGAAGAUGGCUUACUUUCUUUUUCUGACAUAAACUCAAUGACAAACACCACAUUUUUGAACAUUUCCGGGACUUUGAACUUGGCCAGGUUUACUAUGAUGGUUGUGGCUUGUCCCGGGUCAUCAAACUCAACUGCUUUGGCCUUGAUUGUCUCAUGCACAGCCCCUUGGAUGAAUUCUUGAUCUGCUUCAACCACUUCAUUCUCUUGAAUCGUUCUUCUUGGGAAACAAAGGCCUUUGAAAUAUUCAACACGAUCUAGAACUUGCUUUGUUGCACCAAGAAUUGGAAUAUCCUUUUGUACCUUUGGAAGAGCUUCCACAAUGUCUUUUUCACUCUCUUCUUGUUUGGGAAUCAAAAACCUGCUAGGAAAAAGGACAUUGGGAGGAAUAUCAUUAGAAUGAAGUGAAUUUAGAACUUCCUCACCUGAGUUGGAUGACAUAGGGAUUUGAGGAGCUUGCAGCAAGAAUUCUUCUAAACUGCCCAAGUCGUCCUCCUCCUCUUCUGCUUGCAGCAGCAAUUCAUCCAUGUUGGGGAUGUGUUUGGAUGGUUCUGGUACAGCUUCAUCCUCCCUGUCACCUUCCAAGGUGAUGGCUUCAUCGAUUUCAACUUCUGCUUUUGAAUUUGCAAUGUUUGAGUUGGAAAGUUCACUUUGAUCUCGAAUCUGAGCCAUGAAUUCCACAAUCUGCCCAACUUGCAUCUCCAAUUCGUCCACUCUUUUGACUCGGUCUUGCAUCUCCUGGUUUUGAUUUUCUACUCCCUGAUUCAAAGAGGUGAGUAACUUAUUAAGUGUAUCAUUAUCCAAGGAUGUACCUGAAUUGAAUUGGGUUGAUUGUUGUGGUGGCUGUGACGGUUCAUAUGGCCACUGAUAGAACUCUUCCGAUGGCGGCAAUUGUUCUUCUUUUUGUGAACCCUGCGCCAAAGAAAUUAGUCCUUCAAGAAUUUCAUUAUAAUUCAUGGGCAUACUUUGAUUUGAUUGGAAUUGUUGUGGGGGAUGCUGUGGUGGCUGCAUAGGUCUUGAAUAGAACUCGUCUUGCUGCCAAUAUCCACCUUGUUGAAAUUGUUGAGGUUCAUCCCACAUAUAAUCUGAAUUACCUCUCCAAUCUGAAUUGCAAGCGUUGGAAAACAUGUUGCCCCUUGAUUGGUUAUAGCCUUGAUAUCCCCAAACAUCUUCAUUGGCAUAACAUUGAGGACUUUGAUAUUCUUGCCCAUAGAGCACAUCAAGUGUAGGGACACUUGGCAUUGUGGUCCGUUCGGCAUUAUGAGUCAAUUGAGCAGUGAGCUGUGCCAAUUGAGCUUGAAUGGUCGCAAGUGCCAUGUCUUGCUCCAUUUGUACCUAAAAUCAAAGAAAGAAAAAUAAAUCAAAUAUCAAAAGUAAAAUACACAAACACCAAUAUAAGCAUAAACAAAAACAAAAAUAAAGGGAUUAGCAAAGUUGCUAAUCCCCGGCAACGGCGCCAAAAUUUGAUGUGAGAAUUUCUUGACACACAAAUUAAACCCUCUUUUUGACAAUUGUAGUAUAGAUGUAAGUAGGGUAUCGUUCUAGGCCGGGGAUUAGGAGGGAUUGCUAAUCUAUUCUAAAUUAAUUUAAAAAUAUUAAACAAGACUCAAGGACACAAAACUAGGCUAAAAACUCUAAUAACUCGAAACACACUUAGGAUGACUCAAAAUAAUGAAAAUAAUCAAAUUAGACACUAGGAACUGCAAUGGACGGAAAUUGAAUUAAAAGACUAACAACAAUGAAAACUAACUAAAUAAUAUAAUUUAAUAAUGGGGGGGUUUGGUUUUGACGAGAAGUAAAUUAAACUUAAAUAAAUUACAGAAUUGACAAAAACGAAAUUAAGGUGAAAGGAUAAAUGAUGGACUAGUUAGAGGGUUUUUCUCCACACAUGACACAUAUGCAACCUAAAUUGAUUUUCAGUUGUUCUUUCAAUAAGUUGUGAAUUUCAACACUUCAGAUUAACCGUGAAUAGCACUUUUUUAAUCUUCAAGUUUUCCUUAAGUUAUUGAAUUGGACGGGAAAACGCAUACAACAAUUCAAAACAUUCUUCAAAAGUCCCCUACGUGAAAAGCACAAUAGAGAUACAAUCAAAGAUCAUUAAACUUUGUGAAAACUAUAAGCAUUGACGAGGCAUUCGUAACUACGAAAAGCAUGAUACUCUUGCCAAGAAUUUACUUAACACGAUUGUGGAUAGCAACCUUCACUACUUGUGAAUAUAAGUUCAUAACGAUUAGGUGAAAUUCACUUAUAUUCUAGCAUCAAAUUCAUGCAUGUAAAUUAAGUAUGCAUCCUUAAUCGACAUACAAAAAUAAGUUAUCAAUCAAGCAGUUAAGCAAAUUAAAUCACAACUCAGAGAUCACAACUGAAGGUAAUCAAUUCAUAUUACAAAUAUAUUCAUGGUUUCGAAUUAACCUCUAACCAAAAUAAAUUUAAUUACACAUUAUUAAAACAGAAAUAAAAUAUAAGUUUGGAAAGAUUAAACCGAAAGAAGAUGAUAUGCUGCUUCUGUCACUAGCUGCCAGGCACUGGAGCUUCGCCCUGUCAGUCCUCACAUUUCCUUUCUUUUCUGCACGUUCUCACCUUCUGACCGUCCUCACUUCUGCUGCCCCUGAUCUCUCCUUCCUGCUGUUAUUUUAUUCUUCCCUUUUUUUUCUUCCAGCUCACGCUGUCUCUCUCUACAUAGCUGCCAACGCAGCCUUUCUCCCGCGUCUCACACGCCUCUCUAUCCUCUCUGACCCCGUGCUGCCAAAGGCAGCUCCAUCUCUCCCCCCCAAUUGCGUCUCUGCGAGCUGCUUUCUCCUCUCUAUCUUAUUAUUUUAUUUCCCACUUUUCCAAGUCUUCUCUGUCUCCCGCCUCUAUCCCUUUCACGCCUUGGAUUCUCCUUUUUCUUCUUCUUUCGUAUAUCUUUCUUUGGAUCCCUCAUUUCCUGAUUAUUUCUCCCCCGUAUGCCUUUGCUUUCCAUUCUUUUAUUCCCUUUUUCCAGCUGCCCUUGGAUUCUUUCACCGUUCUUUUCUGCUCUGACUCCUUCACGUGUCCAGCUCCUUCUUUCUUUUAUUCUUUUCACCCUCCCGUGUGGACUCACUUCUCUCCCACAUCAGUCCUCUCUUGGAUUCCCUUUUCUUUAGCUUUCUUUAUUUUUAUUUUUUUUCAUUUCUUUUCUUUAUUCUUUCUACAAAACAUAAAUAUGAUGAUGUUUCACAAAAAUAACGUAAAUAGCUCAAAAAUAUAAGGAACUAACUAAGAAAAGACGAGUGAAUUCGAAGUAAAAAUAUAUAUAAAUAUGAUCCGAUCAAAUACCCCCACACUUAACUUUUGCUAGUCCUCGAGCAAAACAAAGAAAAUAAGAACAAGAAGUAACAAGAAAAACAUUAGCUUCCUUCUAUGUGACCCUCAUAGAAAUUCAUUUAAGAAAACAAAUCAUCAAGAACCAUAGCUAGCAUCAAGGAACUAAUCCAAGUUCAUCUUCCUUAUUCAAAUAUUAGCAGUAAUCUUUGAAUCAUCCUUGAAGUGUAGUGUGUGAGAUAGCCAUGCUAAUGCAAUUUCAAGUUUUUAUUUUUAAAAUCAUCAUAUGCAAACUAGUAACAUUCUCACGGGAUAUACACUCAAUCACAUAUGUGUUUAGUUUUAAUGUGUUUCGCUCAAAGAAUCAAAUGUGAAAUUUCUACCAUAAGCUUGCAUAAAGAUCACUUCUCCACAGUCAGAAUUGCAAAACUUAAAUCAAGAGGACUUUUAUUGGACGUAAUGAGGUUUAGGGAGAGGGUUAUUGAAAUGAAAGAAUAGGUAAACACAAGUUCCAAGCUACAUUGCAAGCAAUUCUUUUGUUUAGAUUUAUAAGAACUCAAUAUUUCCAGCGAUUCUUCUAGCACCUCCAACCACA
rnacentral:lncRNA from 1 species